rnacentral:rRNA from 1 species
CCAGCGGAGGGAUCAUUACCGAGUUUACAACUCCCAAACCCAAUGUGAACCAUACCAAACUGUUGCCUCGGCGGGGUCACGCCCCGGGUGCGUCGCAGCCCCGGAACCAGGCGCCCGCCGGAGGGACCAACCAAACUCUUUUCUGUAGUCCCCUCGCGGACGUUAUUUCUUACAGCUCUGAGCAAAAAUUCAAAAUGAAUCAAAACUUUCAACAACGGAUCUCUUGGUUCUGGCAUCGAUGAAGAACGCAGCGAAAUGCGAUAAGUAAUGUGAAUUGCAGAAUUCAGUGAAUCAUCGAAUCUUUGAACGCACAUUGCGCCCGCCAGUAUUCUGGCGGGCAUGCCUGUCCGAGCGUCAUUUCAACCCUCGAACCCCUCCGGGGGGUCGGCGUUGGGGACCUCGGGAGCCCCUAAGACGGGAUCCCGGCCCCGAAAUACAGUGGCGGUCUCGCCGCAGCCUCUCCUGCGCAGUAGUUUGCACAACUCGCACCGGGAGCGCGGCGCGUCCACGUCCGUAAAACACCCAACUUUCUGAAAUGUUGACCUCGGAUCAGGUAGGAAUACCCGCUGAACUUAAGCAUAUCAAUAAGCGGAGGAAAAGAAACCAACAGGGAUUGCCCCAGUAAC